CGACGAAUAUUCCGCAAUGCGCGAAGGCGUGACGGAGCAAUGCCGCGUGCGGGACGAAGCGGCUCCGCCGUGUAAACCGCUGUCAGGGUGCAGGAACACUGACCGCACCCAAAGGAAGGGCCGGCUAACCUUGUGCCAGCAGCCGCGGUAAGACGAGGGGCCCAAGCGUUAAUCGGAAUCACUGGGCUUAAAGGGUGCGUAGGCGGCUGUGCAAGCGUCUUGUGAAAGCCCCCGGCUCAACCGGGGAACUGCAGGGCGAACUGCGCGGCUUGAGGGGGACAGAGGUCGUCGGAACGCUAGGUGGAGCGGUGAAAUGCGUAGAUAUCUAGCGGAACGCCAAAGGUGAAGACAGGCGACUGGGUCCGUCCUGACGCUGAGGCACGAAAGCGUGGGUAGCGAAUGGGAUUAGAUACCCCCGUAGUCC
rnacentral:rRNA from 1 species